rnacentral:hammerhead_ribozyme from 1 species
AUUCAGCCGACGAGUCCGACAUAGGACGAAACGCGCGUUCUGAAU